GAUGAACGCUGGCGGCGUGCCUAAUACAUGCAAGUCGAGCGAACGGACGAGAAGCUUGCUUCUCUGAUGUUAGCGGCGGACGGGUGAGUAACACGUGGAUAACCUACCUAUAAGACUGGGAUAACUUCGGGAAACCGGAGCUAAUACCGGAUAAUAUUUUGAACCGCAUGGUUCAAAAGUAAAAGACGGUCUUGCUGUCACUUAUAGAUGGAUCCGCGCUGCAUUAGCUAGUUGGUAAGGUAACGGCUUACCAAGGCAACGAUGCAUAGCCGACCUGAGAGGGUGAUCGGCCACACUGGAACUGAGACACGGUCCAGACUCCUACGGGAGGCAGCAGUAGGGAAUCUUCCGCAAUGGGCGAAAGCCUGACGGAGCAACGCCGCGUGAGUGAUGAAGGUCUUCGGAUCGUAAAACUCUGUUAUUAGGGAAGAAUAUAUGUGUAAGUAACUGUGCACAUCUUGACGGUACCUAAUCAGAAAGCCACGGCUAACUACGUGCCAGCAGCCGCGGUAAUACGUAGGUGGCAAGCGUUAUCCGGAAUUAUUGGGCGUAAAGCGCGCGUAGGCGGUUUUUUAAGUCUGAUGUGAAAGCCCACGGCUCAACCGUGGAGGGUCAUUGGAAACUGGAAAACUUGAGUGCAGAAGAGGAAAGUGGAAUUCCAUGUGUAGCGGUGAAAUGCGCAGAGAUAUGGAGGAACACCAGUGGCGAAGGCGACUUUCUGGUCUGUAACUGACGCUGAUGUGCGAAAGCGCGGGGAUCAAACAGGAUUAGAUACCCUGGUAGUCCACGCCGUAAACGAUGAGUGCUAAGUGUUAGGGGGUUUCCGCCCCUUAGUGCUGCAGCUAACGCAUUAAGCACUCCGCCUGGGGAGUACGACCGCAAGGUUGAAACUCAAAGGAAUUGACGGGGACCCGCACAAGCGGUGGAGCAUGUGGUUUAAUUCGAAGCAACGCGAAGAACCUUACCAAAUCUUGACAUCCUUUGACAACUCUAGAGAUAGAGCCUUCCCCUUCGGGGGACAAAGUGACAGGUGGUGCAUGGUUGUCGUCAGCUCGUGUCGUGAGAUGUUGGGUUAAGUCCCGCAACGAGCGCAACCCUUAAGCUUAGUUGCCAUCAUUAAGUUGGGCACUCUAAGUUGACUGCCGGUGACAAACCGGAGGAAGGUGGGGAUGACGUCAAAUCAUCAUGCCCCUUAUGAUUUGGGCUACACACGUGCUACAAUGGACAAUACAAAGGGCAGCGAAACCGCGAGGUCAAGCAAAUCCCAUAAAGUUGUUCUCAGUUCGGAUUGUAGUCUGCAACUCGACUACAUGAAGCUGGAAUCGCUAGUAAUCGUAGAUCAGCAUGCUACGGUGAAUACGUUCCCGGGUCU
rnacentral:rRNA from 1 species